rnacentral:misc_RNA from 1 species
GGGGGGUGUUGGGAAUCCCAUUCUUCUUCUGUUCAAUCCAACCAAAAAUAAAAAAUGCAUCUAAAAUAGAAAUAGAAUUGAUCAUCAGACAUCAAAGAUUGAUCUAAUAGUUUCUGAAGUCAUUUGCUGAGUUGGUACCAGGAAUGUCAUGAUGCAUGAAUCCAAUUUUCUCAUGUAAACUAUCCACAAAUUAGAAGAGAACAAGGUUCUACAGCAUAUUGAUGCAGGUUGAUUUGGAUCUCAAAUGUAUAAUGUUAAUUUGGAAGGAUUAUUUUCUUCUUCAAUUUGUUAUUUUUAUGUUGUUGCACAAUGCCUCUUAAAAUUUAGGAGAUGUUGACACAUACAUUUACCAUGAGCAUGAAUUGUUUUCAUGUUACGGUUUUCUGCAUCCUGUAGUCUCACGGGGAUGGAGGAGUUGAUUUUUCCUGGAGAAAUGCUCUAGAGAACUGUAUAAAUUCCUUUCACUAGAUUAUCUAGCACUUGAAAUGCCAUUACCUGACAUUGAAACUUGUUGUAUAAUCUUGGUCUUUGUGCCUCUCAUAAAGGAUGUACAAUUGUUGUCUUCUAUGCCUUGUCCACUGUCUUCAUAAGAAACUCAUAUAACUUUCUUCCCUAAAUGGUUUUGCUGUUAUGGUUAUAGGUGAUGUAUGAGAACAGGGCCA